rnacentral:rRNA from 1 species
UGGAUGGAGGGUUUGAUCCUGGCUCAGGGUGAACGCUGGCGGCGUGCCUGACACAUGCAAGUCGUACGGGCGGACCCCUUCGGGGGGCGAGCCAGUGGCGAACGGGUGAGUAACACGUGGGAACAUAUCCGCUGGUGGGGGAUAACUACCCGAAAGGGUAGCUAAUACCGCAUAAGCGAAAGGGGAAAGGUGCGACAGCAUCGCCAGUGGAGUGGCCCGCGGCCCAUCAGCUAGUUGGUGGGGUAAGAGCCCACCAAGGCGGCGACGGACGGUGACGCCGGCGUGAGAGCGCGACCGGCCACAAGGACACU